UACGUCGGGGGCUAGCGUUGUCCGGAAUCAUUGGGCGUAAAGCGCGCGUAGGCGGCCCGGUAAGUCCGUUGUGAAAGUCAAAGGCUCAACCUUUGAAAGCCGAUGGAUACUGCCGGGCUGGAGUCCGGAAGAGGCGAGUGGAAUUCCUGGUGUAGCGGUGGAAUGCGCAGAUAUCAGGAGGAACACCAAUAGCGAAGGCAGCUCGCUGGGACGGUACUGACGCUGAGGUGCGAAAGCGUGGGGAGCAAACAGG
rnacentral:rRNA from 1 species